rnacentral:lncRNA from 1 species
GCCAGAUCACGCAGGCACUUGUAGGCCAUGGGAAGGAGUUUGGACUUUACUAAGUACAAUGAUAAGCCACUGACAAGCCUAAAGCAAGGGAAUGCCAUGAUCUGAUUUUGCAUUAAGAAGGAGGUCACUCUAGCUGCUAUGUGGAAUUGGACAGGGUCCAGUGUGGAGGUGGUGGCAGCAAGUUGACCAGUGGAACAGCAAAGGAACAACAGAGGAGCCCAGCUGAGGAAGCUGCAGUGAGCUAGGGCUGCCCUCUUUGCUCCUGCUCCUCCUCUUCUAGCUCUUGUCUUCCCCUACCCACCCACCUCCCAGUCAUCUCUUUCUCUUUCCUUUCCUGCCCUCUCCAUGUAUCUGCAUCAAUCACAAGUCUUUCAAAGGCAAACCUAUUAUUUCUUCCUACCCAUGGAAUCCACCCACCUCCCUCCCAUUCUAGUUUGGCACCCCAGAGCUUCUAAGUGUGUUGUCACAAUGUGAGCAAUCAGAAGUGGCUCCUGAAAUGAAAAAGGGGGGAAGCCAGGUGCAGUGGCUCAUGCCUAUAAUCCCAGCACUUUGGGAGACCAAGGCAGGUGGAUCAUCUGAGGUCAGGAGUUCAAGACCAGCUUGGCCAACAUGGUGAAGCCCUGUCUCUACUAAAAAUAUAAAAAUUAGCUGGGCGUGGUGGUGCAGGCCUGUAAUCCCAGCUGUUGGGGAGGCUGAGGGAAGAGAACGGCUUGAACCUGGGAGGCAGAGGUUGCAGUGAGCUGAGAUUGUGCCACUGCACUCCAGUCUGGGCGACAGAAUGAGACUGUGUUACAAAGAAAGGAAGAAGGAAGGAAGGAAGGAAGGACAGAAAGGAAGGAAGGAAGGAAGGAAGGAAGGAAGGAAGGAAGGAAAGGAAGGAGCCGGGGGUGGUGGUUCAUGCCUGUAAUUCCAGCACUUUGGGAGGCCAAGGCGGACGGAUCAGGAGGUCAGUUCGAGACCAGCCUGACCAACAUGGUGAAACCCUGUCUCUACUAAAAAUCCAAAAAUUAGCCAGGCGUGGUGGUGCACGCCUGUAAUCCUAGCUACUCAGGAGGCUGGGGCAGGAGAAUCACUUGAACCUGGGAGGCAGAGGUUGCAGUGAGCCGAUCGCGCCAUGCACUCCAACCUAGGUUACAGAGCAAGACUCCGUCGAAAGAAGAAAGAAGAAAGGAAGGAAGGAAGGAAAGAAGGAAGGAAGGAAGGAAGGAAAAGAAGGGGAAAUAAAAAGGGAAGAAAUAAGGCUGUAGGUGAUUCUCUUCCUCUCCAAAAUUGCAUGGAGUCUUGUGGGUGCUGGGCCACGUAUCCAUCUUUAAAAGUGGCUAUUUCCUCAGCCUUCUUCAAACAGGGUAACUGGAUAAGAGCUAGAUAUGAGGAUGAGUAGAAUUUGGGGGCUAGAAGCAGAGCUGAGGCCUAGAACAAAGAGGUAACAUGUAGGAGUCUCACAGCCAGAGGACUCCUCCUGGCCCCAGUACCCACUAAGCACUUGACUUAGAAACGAUCGUGUAUAGCCACCUUGUUUUGCAGAUUGGAAAACCGAGGUCUAGAGAUGCCAAUGACUUGUCCAAGGUCAUGUAGUUUGCUAGCCAAAGACUAGGACUACAGCCCAGAACUCCUGACUGCCUUUUCCAGGAAUACUUCUGCUCCCUCAGCCUUCCUCAAAGUGACUGUCAGUUUAAUUUUAUAAGAUGGUGGGGCUUGUGGUAAGGACUCUGAAGAGAAAAUGUCAAAAGAAUAGACCAAAUGAUGGAAACAGGAGAUUAUCAAGCCUCAGCAUUCUCUCCGACUUUCCCUAGCCCUUUUGCCACCUCCAUAGCCUGCCUGUCUUCCUACUCCCUGGAACGUAAGGCUGCCCUGGGGACAGCCUCCCAGGGUUGGCUCUGGAGCUCCUGCUCGUCCUCCUCUGUAGCCACUUCUCUGGGGCAUCUGUCCGCACACGUCUUCAGCUCCCAUGACACACAGACAUGCCCGCAUCUCGAGCUCUAGCCCUCGACUUCACCUUCACAUUUGUCUUUCUAUAGGAUAUUUCCAUAUGUAAAUAUGCCUCGCUCAGCCAGAAAUCAAAAUUGGAAUUCAUCUUCCCUAUGCAAAGCUACAGCCUUUUCCUACCCCCUGUUUCUUUCAGUGCUUCCAUAGUCCACCAAUCCUCCCGACUCAAAACUUCCAUGUCACCAGAGGCUGGGGGAGAAGGAAAUGGGGUUGGGGGGUGGUUAGUGUUUAAUGGGUAUACAGUGCCAGUUUGGGAUGAUGACAAAGUUCUUGAGAAGGAUGGUGGUGAUGGUUACACAACAAUGUGACCAUAAUUAAUGGCAUUGGACUGUACAUUUGUAAUGGGUGAAAAUGGUAAAUUCUAUGUUAUGUCUAUUUCACCACAAUUAAAAAAAACAAAAACAAAAACCCAAACCCAAAACUCAUGUCAUCCUUGACUUGUGGCUACCUUGCUGUCUUCUCCCCAGCUUACUUUGCCACCAAGUAAUUCUGAUUUUUCACCUAGUGGAGAU